GGCUCGGGAGAGACCGCCUAUACGGAGCCGAAGGGGCCGCAAAAACUCUCAGGCAAAAGGACCGGGUC
rnacentral:ncRNA from 1 species